CGUGUUUUUUGGAAAGGUUUUUUUGGUUUUCUUCCCCUCGAGUAAUCUAAACACCUUUGUUUUGGGCGCCAUUGCUGGGAUCUUACUGGAGUCUAUGAGCCGAGACUCAGCUGAAGCUCAAAACUCCCGCUUUCUUCUAGCCAAUCGGUUUAAAACCGUUCUCCUCUCCAGCCAAUCACGGGUGACACUGCUCCUGCGCCCUGCGCGCGCAGAUAGAGUACCACUGGGACGUUCGGCGUGUUCGCAGCACUGUUACCAUGCAAAGUACACUAGAUACUCGCUGACGGAGCAAGAAAGACCAAGAGAAACACCAGGAUUCAGUCAGUUACCGACGCGAAACGGGUGGUAAUAACAGACCUGGUCCAGCCAGCUGAGGAAAGUAGUUUAUCGAUGUUCAGCUAAUCGUGAUGAGAAGUUCGAUUCAUUCCACCAACCGAUUCUUUUGCGCUUCAAAGAAUCAUUAGAACCGAUUCAGACAUUCGGACGAACAAAGCCUUUCUUUGUAACGUAUAUACUCGGCGUAAUAUCCUUAAUCGCAUGUACAGUCUCAUAAUAUCAAACAUACAAGUGAACAUUAUAAAAUCUUAACACGAAAUUAUGCAAUCAGUUGAAUAUGACGGUCGAUUCAUAAGUUCGAAAGAGCCGGUUCAGUAAAAUGAACCGAACUUUCCACCCUUGUGUUGUUCUUCGGUCAAGCCACAGACAGACAGCAAGCUCAAGGAAGAGAACGAGGAGGAUGAAAUCAAAAGAAAGAAAGAAGAAACAUAGCGGGCAAAUCUUUCCGAAAACAUGGGGUAGACCACAACACAGCUGCACAGACUGCUUCCAUUGCAGAGCUUUCCCCUGCCACACCAGAGACACGCCACCAGCUCUGUGAUGAACCUCUUUUUCAGUCUCAGUAAUUUUCUGUUCAUUUAAUAACACUAUGAACUGAAUGUUUAGCAUAUACAGAAAAAAAUGUAUCUAUGAUUUUUUCCCCCUAUUUCUACUGGGAAGCUGAAUGUGUAGAUAUACAGUGUUCAUUGUUUAACAUCGUGUAAUGCUUUCAGUUUAUAGCAUUAAAGUAUCUAGCACUUUA